CAGUCGCCGCGGGAAUACGUAGGGUGCAAGCGUUAAUCGGAAUUACUGGGCGUAAAGCGUGCGCAGGCGGUUAUAUAAGACAGAUGUGAAAUCCCCGGGCUCAACCUGGGAACUGCAUUUGUGACUGUAUAGCUAGAGUACGGCAGAGGGGGAUGGAAUUCCGCGUGUAGCAGUGAAAUGCGUAGAUAUGCGGAGGAACACCGAUGGCGAAGGCAAUCCCCUGGGCCUGUACUGACGCUCAUGCACGAAAGCGUGGGGAGCAAACAGGAUUAGAUACCCGCGUAGUCCCUGUCUCUUAUAU
rnacentral:rRNA from 1 species